AGCCUCUCCACUACGCAUUCCUGCCACUGGGGACGCUGUGGGGUGGGAGGAAGAGCUGUCCCCGACGCGGUUUCAGACUGACCGUCCCUGGGUGUCAGGCACAGCCGUCCAGCUCAGCGGGGGUUCAUGCCGCACACAGCGCUGCGUUGGCCUGAGCUGCAGGCCCAGCAGGAGGCGGUCUGUCAGGGUCCGUUUGCUUGAGAACUGACAGGCUUUAGAGAAAACUCACCCAAGCAGAAGCAGCAGCCAGGCAUGAUGAACUUGACCCAGUAAGAAAGUCUCGGACGUCAAACCCUGAGUGCUUUCUUUGUUUGUGUGUUUUCGGUCUUUUCCAGACUACAAACUCUGUGGAUGCGGAGACUGGGCUUAUCUUGUGCACCUGCAGCGAGUGUGGAAAAAGAAUGCAGGAAACAUUUGUCGAGUGAAACGGUGCAGACCGGGACCCCGAAGAGCCCCAGGAUAGGGCGAGGCCCGGCUGUGUGUGGCCUUGGUCAGAGUGGAGCAGAAGUCCAGACAGCGAGGGAACGUGACGUGGCUCAGUGACUCGGGGUGUCCGUGUCCCUGUGCAGCCCCAGAAGACACGGGUUAGGCACUGGGCUUGGCAUCUGGAAAGCAAACAGUGGCUCUCACGCAAGAUAAAGAGCGCUCGAAAAUCAGCCUCAGCCAGAGGCAGUGCAGUGCGCGUUUGCAACCCCAGCUGCUUGGAGACUGAGAUGGGAGGAAAGCCGGAGGCCAGCCUGGGCAGCUCAGUGCAAGCCUGUCAUGAACGAAUGAAUGAACACAAAUCUGAAAAGCCUGGAGCUGCACCUCAGCACGAGGCCCUGUGUUGAUCCCCCAGUACCACAAAAGCCCAGGGAAGGGGCCUUCCAUGGGACCCCUCAGCGUUCAGUGUGCGUUCCCUGCAUCUGGAGGACGGGGUGCACUGCGCUGGUGGCCGGAUCACGUCUGGGAAGAAGAGGCAGCGGGAAGCUGGCUCACUGCCCUGGAGGUGGAACAAGGGAGAUUGCGCGGGCCAGGGCCUGCCAGCCUUCCAAGCCCGCGGGGAGGUCUACGGACGAGACAUGGGGCUGGUGCUGCAGAGCUACACAGGAUUAUAUUAGAUUCUGCCCCAAAGGGUCGCCCAAAUGCCUUCAGUGAUCCCAAAAGAAAGAUCUUAGAAGCCACAGGAGGACUUUUGGCCGAGUAGGCUAGGGAACAGCUUCAUCUGCAUCGGGGGUCAGGAGAUGAGCAAUGCCGGAAAGAGAGAGUGUUAUCUUUUAGAAAAAUCGAUGAAAGUGCCAAAUAGAGAGGAAGUCAGCUAUGCCCACCAACAUAGGGAGAGCUGAUGCCACCUCACAGUACCUCUAGCCAGAGAAACCCUCCUCUGGGGUCUGAGUCACUUUCCUCACAACUAAGACACAAUACUUGUCACCCCCCACUUAGAAGAGGGGAGCUUUACUUUGGCUCAGGGCCUCAGAAGUUUCAGUCCGUGGUUAGCCAGCUGCAAUGCAGAAACAGCAUGGUGGAAGGGUCUGGGCAGAGGAGAGCUGCUCACAUCGUGGCAGCAGGAAACAGAACAAAGGGAGAAGCCAGGGAGGGAAAUACACUCUUUCAGAUCAGCAGCCCCCUCUAAGCAGGCCUCACCUCCCAACAGCACACUCAGCUGCAUAACUCACUAGUAGAUGAGCCCACUGCUGAGCACCUCAUCCCUGUGAUGCCAUCACCUUCCCAAAGCCCCACCUCUGAGAACACAAGAAUUUGGGAAACGUUCUCCACCUAAACCACAGCACCCGCCUCUCCCUCACAUACUCCAUCCCCGGAGAGGUCCAAGGUCCAAGGUAGCAAGACGACAGAGGAAGGUGAUCAGAUUACCUCUGAAAUGUCAUCAAACCUGCUCCAAAUUUGAGGGGUGAAAGAGAACAAACGCCGCAUAAUGGAUUUAAAGAUUAACAGAGAGAAAUGCAAAUAGAGUUGCUUCCUUAUCCCACCUUCCAUCGGUUAGGUUAGACUAAGCAGUGAUAACGAAAAGACUGAACUUUCACAAAGGCUGGUUAGAACUCUCCGCACAGAGAAUGUGUGUGCCCAAGACCGGUUUCCUUGUCCGUGACUCAGCCCUGGCCCUCAGACCUGUCUCUUCUUGUUGCAGCCUCAGCCGGCACCUGGACCUGGGGCUCUGGGCUGCUCCUUGGGAAGGAAUUUGCAGGGCUCUGCCACUCUGCCCCUUGGCUAUUUAGUUAAAAAUCCGAAGAGGGCAGGGAAUUUAGCUCAGUGAUUCUGCCGCCUGCCUCACAAGCGCAAAGUCCUGAGUUUGAUCCCCAGUACAAAAAAAAUGAAGAAGAAAUGUUUAUUGAAGAGCAAUUGACACACAGCAAGGGACUGGGGAAUUUAGCUCAGUGGUUCCAUCACCUGCCUUGCAAGUGCAAGGACCCGGGUUCAAUCCCUGGUACCCAAAAAACAAACCAAGACAUGCAGCAAACCCACGCAGAUUUAAAGUGUGCACUUGCACAAGUUUUGUCCUGGGGACACCAACACCAUAUUUGAGGUAAUGAACGUGCCCACCCUCCCGAGCGCCGUCUCAAGUCCUGCCUAAUUCCUGACCCUCCCCAGCCCCAUUUCCAAGCAACCACUGAUCUGCUUUCUGUCUCUAUAGAUUAGUUUGCAUUUUCUAGAGUUUCAUAUAAAUGAAGCCAUACAGUGUACUGUCCUUCUUGGUCUGGCUUCUUUCAUCCCAACUGUCAGCUUUCCGAGGGAGACAGUUCAGCUCAGAACCCAGCCAAGAGUCAUGCUGCUGGCUGUACAGAAAUUGGACACCACACAUCUUGCAGGCUGGAGAACUUUCCUACCAGCGUGCCAACUACUUUCUGGUUAAUGGAUCUUUCUUAAUCCAAAACAAGAAAAUUUGCACUCUUAAUUUUUCGCCAAAAUGUCUAAACUUGGAUGUUAGCCCUCUUUUACUUCCCCCCACCAAAUUCAGUUAAGGAAAAUAAAGAGAGGAAUCCUGAAAAAUACACAGCGAGUGCAUCGCUCCAACUCUGGGGAGUAUGCAAUUUCAGACACUCGUAGCACCGUGAAUUUUUGUUUGUUUGCUUGGGUUUUUUUUUUU